GGGAGAAGUCGAUGUCCCUAUAUAAUACAGAGCAGCUCAUUCUUGAGCACUAGGAAUACUGGCAGAGGGGAGAAGAAAAGGGAUAAAAUGCAGAAGUGUUUGUAUAUUUCUCUGGAUUUUGGCCUAAUCAAAAUUACAAAAAAGAGAAAACCCAGUUAUCCUGCCAGCUUGGUUGCCAAUGUUUUAAGUGGAAGUUGAACUCGAGCUCUGCAUUUCCUCGCUGUUCUAGCACAUGGCUACAACAAGAGUCUGAAAAGAGCUGGUCUAUUAUACACUCAUCAUGCUGAUACCAUCCUGUACCUUUGAUCAUCUUUGUAUUUCUGCAAGGACUUGGAGAGCUACUGAGAAGCUAAAUGACAUUGCAGGACAAUUCUAAAGCUGGGUUUACAGGUCUCUCUGAAAGGUCUUGUCCUACAAUACAGAUUGCUUUUGAAGCCACACAUUGUACCUCAAACUACCUCUGCAUCAGCUGGAAGUGGUCUUAGCAGAUUUUCUUUGAGAUGAUUAUUAGUAUUAUAUUCUCCUCCCAAAACACAUAAAUCCAAUAAAGCACAGGAAGAGAGGAGAGAUAUAAAGGAAAGUGGGAAUAUGUCCAUGCUCAUGUUGCUGAAUAAUAUUAACAUAUUCAAAAUUUGUUUCAAGUUGUUUCAAGAUCUGACACUGUUAGAAGAGUAAGGUAGCUGGAUCUGAUAUCUGAGGCUUAUCUAAGGCUUAGUACCUCUAACAUUUAAAGGAGUGGUUGGAGAUUUUACCAUUUGAACAGACUAAAAGACACUUCAGAUAAAAAAAUGCUUUGAAAUUGUUCAUUUGCUUUUCUGAAAACCACUUUUCUCACUAAGAAGGAGGUGCUUUCUUCCUCCUUGUUUUGUAUUUCAUCUGUUGAUUCUCUCAAGCAGGUGGUGUUUUUAAGGAUUGUCUCUUUAAACUUUGCCUUACAGACUGUAAUCCUUCAGAGCAAGGGUAAUUAACUCUUCUUCUAUGCAAGAAAGACAUUUGAAAACAGGUAUAGAACUUUUCUUGCCUGAAGUGAUGUUUUGGAAGCAGUGUUUGUGGUGUAGCUUGGUUCUGAGAAAACUUCAUAGCCCUGUAUGUCCAAGCCUGUCUCCACACACAGCUUAAACUGCUUGAGUUCCAUCUGUCCACAAACCCUGUGUGCUUGUGUCAGGGUUACUUUUGUGGCCUAUCAAGAAAGAAUUCUCUGUCUGCAAAAGAUAGGUUAUGUUGAGAUAAUAUGCACACAGUUCUGAGGACACUCUCAAAUGCAUUCCACUUGUAAAAUUUUAAUAUUUUCCCCUGUCCUGGCAAAAGCCAUGAGAUCUGCUCUAGAAGAGACCGCAAGGGCCAAUACAGACAAGAAGUGAAGGAAGGUUUGUUUGCUCCUAAACUGACUCUCUCACAUCCAGAAAUACCAUAGAGGUAAAUAUAGAUCUUCCAUCCAUGAAGGAACGCUGAAGGUCAGCUGCCCAUAGAUCUCAGGACUUGCUGAAACACAAGAAAACCAAGUUCCCCUUCUUGGUAGUCACUGGCAGGAGUUACAGUUCUGGGCUUUAGCUUAUUUGCUGAAAAGUCAAAGGUGCCCUUGGAAUUGUCACUUCAUUUCAGCUGACACUUCUGGGAAGGAGAGUGAAAACUUCAGGGAAAGGAGCCAGGUCCUCAGCUGACACAAGAAGUCAAGCUUCAGUCCUGCUUGUACUUCAGCAGCCUUAGUUUAAUCCUGCAGAAAUAAUCUUUUGGAGAAGGUGCAACAAUCCCAGGUAGGAUGUUUCACAACUCAUUUUCCUGUUGGAUUAUGCAGUUUCACACUAAUCUCAAACUAAAGAAUUGUGAUAAAAUCCUGCAGAGAUGAUUUUCUACUGGGAAACAAUGUCCUGCUGUUUUAACAGUUUAAGUGGAGACUAUUGGCUCUGGGAGAAAAGGUGCCUUUGGAAAAGGGAUCUUAAAAUAUGAAGAUUUGGAUGUACAUCAUAAUGGGUCAGUUAAAAUGGGCAAAGCUUGUGUGAAUUAGUACCAAUCUUGGUAUUGGCUUGGUAUGAAGAUCUCAUAGGGGCUGUGAGGUUUCAUCUUAAAAUUUAAGGUGUAAGUAUUCCCCAAAUUUUUUAGAAUUAGAGCAUCCUGGGAUACAAAGCAUGCUGGCAAAUGAGGAGGUUUUCAGAUCCUGCAGGCUUUCAGAUAUUUGUUAUGAACCAUACAAUUUGAAUGGAAAAAGUUUUAAAAUUAUAAUUCUGUAACUGUCUCGGUGACAUGCACAAAGAAAAUCCUGAGAGAAGAUUUCAGCAGAGGUGUACAGGUGACAAGACUUACACUGUGUGCCUCAAAAUUACAGUUGUAAAAUAUUUGUCAUUCAGAUGCUUUUUAUCACACUUAUUAAAUAUUUCCCAUGCCUGUCUUACACUGAGCAUACUGGAUUCUCUCCAAGAACCUUAGCAGAACUCUGGGAUCAUGGAGAUGGUUUUCUUGCUGGAGACAAAUCAAUACUGCAAGAUCUUGAUUAAAAUACCUGGUAAAGAGGCUUUUAUUCUUGGUUUACACUGCAACACACCUCAGAUACUGGAAGCAAUUAAUUACAAGCAGGUGAACUCCUCUCAAAUACUUUAUCAGUACUGAUAUCCAGGAAACAAUUAUCCUGAGAAAUGCAGUAAAUGAGACUAAAAGAACAGAGCAAACUCUAUAUCUGAUUGCAAAAGUGUCUCUUAAAUUGAAAAAAAAUCAGUGUAGGAAGUGGAUGGUAAGUAAAUGUAUUGAGCUGGAUGGAGUGUGUGUAUAAACAGAUUUAUACUCCAUGAGAGGCUAGCACACAGAAUCUGUACAUUAGUACUUAACUCUCUGCUUUGUAUUCACAUUUUCUCUGAACAUAUUUACAAACCUGGGCCUGACAGGCUUGUUUGAUAUCAAAACAUACUUAAUCAGAAUGGCUGUAGGUGUUUGACCAUGUUUAUUCCAGCAGUGUUCUUCCUAACUGCACCUCCUACCAUAAAGGAACAGGGAAACAAUUCAUUUUUGUGGCAGGUUGUCCAAGUCAGUGUUGCCAUAGGAACUUUAACUUUCAGAAUUCUUUGUCUCCUCCAGCUCAGAUUAUUCAUUUUCACUUUUGGCAAUAAUGUUAUUUCUGGAUUUAACAAUAGGCUUUUGUUUGUGAGCCAAUAAGCAAGGGUGUAUAGAUUCAACUUGGAGUUUUUCUGACACCCUGAACUUCUAAAUCUUCAGUAUUGAUCAUGGCAGGGUGUAAAUGAGCCAGCACCAUAUACUGAAAUAUUGUUAAACUCAGUUUCUGCAGAUUUUCCCUUCAACAUGUCAAUGAAGUGGUAAAAGACAGACAUUUAUAAGAUUUAUAAUAAAAACUCUACUUCUUCCUUGAUUUAUCUGCCUCCACAUAGCCUUUCCCACAGUGGAUCUGAUAGAACCACAGUGAUGCAUCCUAAAAUUUCUCAAUGCAUCUCAUACUUGAACUGUGAUUAUAUUAUAUAUAUAUUAUAAUUAGUUUAUAGUAAAAAUAAUUUGCUUCUAUUGGGAAAGAGUGAAUCUACCUUACCAAAAAAUCUGGCAUACUAUUGCACUAAAAUUUAAUGGGAUUUUUGUGUAGAAGAUAUGACCUGGUAGCAACAACUGCAGUUCUAAUAAUAACUCUGCAUAUCGAUCACAAUCUGCUGCAAUUGCUUGGAUCAAAGUUUAUCAGAAAUAAAUAUGCCCCCACCCAAAAAAAACCAAAAAACAAAACCUCAAACUAGCGAAACCCAAAAACCAAAAAACCAACAAAGACAACUGUCAUGAAAUACUUGUAUUUUAAAAAUAACUCAGACUGUUUGCUAAACCAGAUUCCAGAUUAGUUGCAACAGGACCUCCUGAGAGAAAAAAAUUCCCGCAAGCUCCAUAUAAAAUUUCCAGAUGUUGAUGUUCUGCAGCCAAAAGUGGUACAUGAAAAACCUGCUUCAUCUUUUAGGAUUUUGGUUUCUUGACCAGUUACCCUAAAAGAAAUCCACCAAUCAAAAUGCAGUUUACCUGUUUCUAAUGGCUGCAUCUUGAAAGCUGAUAUUGUAGCUAUUUUUCUCACUGUCAUGAUGAACGGAGACUCUAAAGUGAAUGGGAAUUUUUACUUUUCCUUACAGAGGCCAUUUCCUCCAGUGGUUUUGAAUGCAUUGAUAAGCAAUAGCCAGAGAACUUGGGCCAGUUUUGUUCUGAGUGAUGUCCAUUAAAAUAAAUUGACACUGUCAAUGUGGUUUUAUAGUCCUUGAGAAAACUGAGAGGAAGAACAUUAACAAAUUUCUGAGAGCACAGGAAGAAAUAAAGUGUAUUACUCUGUGUUCUCUCAUUGCAGUAUUUUGCUUGGUCAAAGAUAUAAAGCCAGAGAAUCUUUAAGGCUGAAAAGAUCUUUUAAAUCAUUGAGCCCAUCCAUUAAACCAGAACUGCGAUGUUCACUAAAACAAAACAUGUCUCUAAAUGCCACAAAUGCUCAUAUUUUAGAUGCCAACCAUUAUGAAAGUACAAUGCCUGAGAAGUCCAACUGGAUUAUCCAGCAUGAAGGCAAGAGCCACUUAGGGGAACAGGAAUAUGGCAUGGAGAAGAGUAACAAGCCCUGCUCGGAUGAACACAGCAUUAACUCAUAAAAGGAGGAAAGAGGGAAUCUCUUGUUGAUUGAGAGGAGCAUAAACGAGACUAAUAAUCACCUUUGUUUCAAUGUCACUGCUUUUGUUUUGAGACUUGUUCAGCCUCAUCCAUCUACAGCAUCAAUAUUUCAUAAAGAUUGCCAGUUUGGAACUAUUGCUGUCAUUCAUGUGCAUGUUAUAUCCUUCCACUCCUGUCGAUCUAUCUGCAGGAUCAGGGCCUUAAUUUACAUAUUUGAACAGUAUAAUUAUGAAGGUUGUUAUCUGGGUGAAAAUGUGAGGCUGCCAAAUGUCGGAUAAUUUGCAAACAACACAAAUUCAGAGUGGCUGCCUCUUGAGUAUUUUUGGAAAGGUAUGGGGAACAACCAAUUGAUGAUUAAGAGGCCUCCCAAUAGACAAACUAAACAAAAGGUAACAAUUUAUCCCAAUGUUUUGGUUCACUGCUGAUGAAUUUUCUUAGCAUCUGCUUAAAUGUUUGAUUAUUCUACAAGCCCAUCUGUUUCUGGCUGAUACGAAACUCUGCGUGAUGGGGGAAUUUUUAACAGCUUGCACACCUCAUUUAGCAGAGAAGACAUAAAAUUAGUGCCCUGAUCUGUUGAAUUUUCUAAGGGUAAGCCUACUCUGAUAACAGCAUUAAUCAAUUCAUUAGCUUCAUGUUUUGCCAGCUAAGACUUCAUGACAAUACUGUGGGGUUUGAAUGUCCAAGUACCCCUUCCAAGAUUUGCUACAUUCCUCAGACAAGAAAUUUGACUAAAUGAGAGUUAAGAUUCAAAUUAAAUUUUCCUAGUCUGGCAGUACAACAUGAUACUGGAUAAAAAAUGGAGAGGACACACUUAGGAUGUCACUUAAAUAUUUUGUUGUUCCCAUGGGGAACUCCUAACUCCAGAUGUCUGCUGGAAACGGAACCCAGCAGAGAGGAAAUAGUCUGGGAGGUUCCUGGAAUGUGUGGAACUUGCUGUUUUCAACCGGAGAAGGACUUGUGGGUGAUAUGAUGGUCAGAGGCCCUCUUGGGGCACAGAAAUCACAAAAUUAUAAGAGUUUGGGAUUUCUGGAGACAUAAGGAGAGCUGCCAGCAGAACUUCUGCCUCAGAUUUCCACAGGGCAGUGCUUGACCUGGUUAGAAGAUUGGUUGAGAGAAUCCCUUGGGACGGAGAAUCCCUGCUGAGACAUUCCUGGAGGGCAAAGGAGUCCAGGAUGGCUGGACAUUCUUCAAGAGGGAAAUCUUAAAGGCUGCUCCCAGGGAGGCCAUGGAUCAGAUCACCUUGAGUACAGGACAGAUCAGAUCACAUUGCAGGUACAGGACAAACCCAACAUGGGCUUGGGAAAGACAGGUCCUGCUGGUCACCCCAAUCUUCUAUGACAAGGUGCCUCACAUGGUGAAGUGAGGGAAAAGUUGUGGAUCUGGUCUGCUUAGACUUUAGGAAAGCUUUUCCCACCAUGUUCUCCUGGAGAAAGUGGCUGCUCAUGGCUUGGAUGGGUUCACAGUUUGCUGGGUGAAAAACUGGCUGGAUAGCCAGGCCCCGCAUUGGGGAAUGGAGCCACAUCCAGCUGCUGGAGUGUCACAACUGGUGUUCUCCAGGGGAACACUUCUGGGGCCAGUUCUGUUUAAUCUCUUUAUUGAUGAUCUGGUUGAGGGGAGGGAGGUACCCUCAGUCAGUUUGGAGAUGACACCAAGCUGGGUGGGAGUGUUGAUCUGCUGGAGGGCAGGAAGGUUCUGCAGGAAAUCUGGACGGGAUGGAUGGAUGGAUGGAUACAUGGAUGAAGGCCAAAGGUCUGAGGUUCAACAAAGGCAGGUGCUGGGUCUGCAUUUUGGCCACAACAAUCUCCUGCAGAACUCCAGACCAUGGACUGAGUGGCUGGAGGGCUGCAUGACAGAAAAGGACACAGAGGUGCUGGUGACAGUGGCUGAACAUCAUCCAAAAUGUGCCCAGAUGGCCAAGAAGGCCAAUGCCCCCAUGCCUUCAUCAGCAACAGCGUGGCCAGCAGGACCAGGGCAGUGAUUGUCUCCCUGUGCUGGGCACUGGUGAGCUGCACCUCAAAUCCUGGGGUUCAGUUUUGGGCCAUGUUCUGUGGGAGAAGAGAGUUCAGCCACCAUUAAACUUUUCUGUGCUUUCUACCAUGGGGCCAGAGAUGCACUUAGUGCUAUUUUAUUUACUGUUGUAAAAUAGCUCCAAGAAUUAUGGUGCUGUGCCAUGCACUCAUUCUACAGGCAUUCUACAAAUUAAUAAAUCUCUGUGUUCCAAUUUCCUGUCUGUAAAGUUAAUGUCAUGGUCCUGCUAUUUUUAUAAAAUCUGUUAUAGGGUCUUGGGGAAGCGAUUUUUCCUUUGCAAGAGUGAAUUUUCAGGGUGUAUAGAAGGUGACAGCUAAGCCUGAGAUUAUCAUGACCCCAGGCCAAUGUGGGUUUCAUUACAUGCAGAAGUCGUGUUCCUGUGCUGCCGUCUCUAUCAGCAGGAGAGCUUUGUUCAUCUGUUCUAUUUGUGCAGUUUCUGCACAGGGGUUCCCAUCUCAGGUGAAGCCCUUAGAUAAGGCUUUAAUGUGAAGAAAAAGGAAAAGGUAUAACAUUAUUGGCAGGAGGUUCCUG